CUCUCUCCCCAGUCUGCACUGCAGCCUGUCACCCUCCGAAGGGCUGCACCAGUCUCUCUGUCUGUACUGGAAUAGAGCUGCUCCCCACUAUCACCCUCUGCUAAAACCCUGCUAAAUGCCUCUCCCAGGACCCUGGCUCAGCGCUGCAGGGAUGAUUGUGGGAGGCUGUGUCUGGCUGCUUUUCCUCCUGGACAUGGGGCAUCAGGAGACUGACAUCAACUAGAAAGGACUCAACAGGGGGAAAUAAUAAGUGGGGGGAGAAGGGGUGGGGGAGGUGGGUGACAUUGAUUCACUAGGGAGGAGGAGGUCGCAGCAGUUCUGGAUUCUCUGGAAUUCUCUCUCCUUUUCUCGCUUUGAUCUCCCUGGAUUUGACCCAGCGGGGUGAAAACUGGAUUUUGCCCCUCGUUUCAAGGGUAACCGUAAAUCUGAUUACAGCAGGGGCCCCUUCUGAGAGCAGCAUGGAGUCCGUGGAUAAGGAAUGCGGGGCGCUAGGGGGUCUCUUCCAGGCCAUCAUCAAUGACAUGAAGG